CCUACGGGAGGCAGCAGUGAGGAAUAUUGGUCAAUGGGCGAGAGCCUGAACCAGCCAAGUCGCGUGAGGGAGUACUGCCCUAUGGGUUGUAAACCUCUUUUGUCGGGGAGCAAAAGCCGGACGUGUCCGGCUGUGAGAGUACCCGAAGAAAAAGCAUCGGCUAACUCCGUGCCAGCAGCCGCGGUAAUACGGAGGAUGCGAGCGUUAUCCGGAUUUAUUGGGGUUAAAGGGUGCGCAGGCGGAUUUUUAAGUCAGCGGUCAAAUCGUGGGGCUCAACCCCAUCCAGCCGUUGAAACUGGGGAUCUAGAGUGUGCGAGAGGUAUGCGGAAUGCGUGGUGUAGCGGUGAAAUGCAUAGAUACCACGCAGAACCCCGAUUGCGAAGGCAGCAUACCGGUGCACAACUGACGCUCAGGCACGAAAGCGUGGGUAUCGAACAGGAUUAGAUACCCCAGUAGUC
rnacentral:rRNA from 1 species